UCUCCAUUGGGAAUCUAGGAACGUAACUCGGUUGUGUCUUGUUCAUGCUGCUUCUUCUGUCUAAAUCACCAGAAACCA
rnacentral:sRNA from 1 species